rnacentral:lncRNA from 1 species
CUGUAAAAAGAAAAAGACGAGGCUGUCUGUCUCUAAUAGCUUGUGGGGCUGUGUUUUUUGUCUGCUCCGAGCCGAGGUCUUCUGGCCUCCCAGGAGCUGCUGUCUGAAGUGUGCUGUGUUUUCAGAGGGCGAUGUGGAGUGCUUCACAGAGUACAUGGAUCUGUGGGUGCACAGGAGCAGGGCUGAAGGUUUGAGACUCUGGCUGGCCGGAGCGCUUAGAGUUCCAGUCAGCCUGACGUCGCCGGAGGAGCUGAGCUGGCGGCUGUCCGCCUGCGGGUACGCGCUCCACAGAGACGCAGACCGGCACUUCAGUUUCAGAGUGAUGUACAGCGGCUGCUCCGUCCGGCUGGAAGUAUGUUUCUGCGAAUGUAGCGGCGCCUGGAUCGAGUCAAUUCGGCACCUUCGGCACCCGGAUGCCAGUCGGCAGUUUAAAAAACAAAAAACGCCCUUUCCAGCUCAAAAUCGAGCUAGCGAUAGAUGGGGAAAAUAAGGACACAAGGAUGCGCCAAUCAAGAGGUCUCCUGUUGAGGUUCAUCUCUUAUUGAUCCAAGGACCUCAG